GUCUUCCUCUUCCUCCUGCUCCGGCCAUAUAGGACGUGCUGGCUUCCCCUUCGCCUUCUGCCGUCAUUGUGAGCCGUGGGGAGGCCUUGAGCGCCCCCUGGAGGUGACACUCUGCCACUACACAUAGGAAACCACCUGGAAACCCAACCACAGUGUCUGAUGUGACUUUUCUUAGUGACAGGAAAUUAGGAUGAGCACGAGCAAAGUCGGUGGUCACAAGGGAGCAGCCAGGCCAGUCCUGCUUAAACUCCUGCUGUUACAUGUUUGCGAUUGAACUCGUAGCAAGCUGCCGAUGGAACACAACCUGCCUCCGGCACAGACGCCGAUCUUCAAUCCCUUCUCCCCAGCACCGGUGACAGCCCUAGUCAUCCUUCAAGGCCCAGUUCAAAUGCCUCCAUCUCCAUACCAUUUCAGUUCGUGGUUGGGGAUAGGAGCUCCCGUCGCGAUCGUCAUCUUUCUGCUGCAGACAGAUUUUGUUUCCCUCUGUAAAGUUGGAGUGCAGGGGACAAGGCUCUGAACAUAGCAUUUAAGUGACAGAGAUGGUUGUGGUCAUGUCCCAGUAUGUAUUUAUCUAUCUCCUGCUCCAGUAAAUGUCACACUCCCCGGGGCAGCGAGGGUGUCACCAUCUCGGUGUCCCCACAGCACCUAGCACAGUCUCCCAGACGAUCCAGGGCAGACCCUUCGCAUGGGAACGCAAGUCCCUGUUUGUCCGGGUCACUCAGGUUUACGCCUAUUGUCCUGUAAUUAUUUAUGCACCCUCUUUUGCUGUCAUAGGUGUUGGGUUGGAACAGUCACCCUAUUUAGCACACACCUAUUAAGCCAAAGCACCUUAGUGUGUAGGCUUCCCUCACCCAAACCUGUUCCCAAAGGUCCUUUCUCACCGGCUACUUUGGGGGCCCCAGUAAUCUUCCCGACCCCUCUGGUCAGGGCCAGAGUGGGGAGCAAGUGUCUAAAGCAAGGCCUUCAACAAGGUCCCUUCCCUGAGAGACUCAGUUUGUGACGCUUGUGAUUGUGAAGCUCAAAUGGAUUAUGUGACUCCACAUAACUCUGCAAACUGUGGUGCGCCCUAUUAUUGCCGUUUAACUUGUCAGUGUCGGUUCUGCACCCCUGCAGGCUCUGUAGGGGCUGGAGAAGAACACUUGAUUUGGAAUUUCGGUAAUAGCCAGUGAGCUAAGAACCACAUAAAAUAAUGCAGAUCAUA
rnacentral:lncRNA from 1 species